UGCAGUCGAACGGGAACUUUUCUGGUAGCAAUACCGAAAAAGUUCUAGUGGCCAACGGGUGCGUAACACGUGGGCAAUCUGCCGAGAAGUGGGGGAUAGCUCGCCGAAAGGCGAAUUAAUACCGCAUGUGAUGAGAGGCGACAUCGUCUUGAAAUCAAAGCCGCCCAGCACUUUCAGUUGAUUUGAAAAUUCAGGAGAGGAUCACCGUUUAAUAUGCGGCGAUAUUUUACCAGGAAACAUGANAGUCGAUUGAAAGUGCUGGGUGGCGCUUUUUGAGGAGCCCGCGGCCUAUCAGCUUGUUGGUGAGGUAACGGCUCACCAAGGCUUUGACGGGUAGCUGGUCUGAGAGGACGACCAGUCACACUGGAACUGAGACACGGUCCAGACACCUACGGGUGGCAGCAGUCGAGAAUUUUUCUCAAUGGGGGAAACCCUGAAGGAGCGACGCCGCGUGGAGGAUGAAGGUCUUCGGGUUGUAAACUCCUGUCAUUUGAGAACAAGUGUGGCCAAGUAACUACUGGCCACUUGAUAGUAUCAGAAGAGGAAGAGACGGCUAACUCUGUGCCAGCAGCCGCGGUAAUACAGAGGUCUCAAGCGUUGUUCGGAUUCAUUGGGCGUAAAGGGUGCGUANGUGGCGCCGUAAGUCGGGUGUGAAAUUUCGGAGUUUAACUCCGAAACUGCAUUCGAUACUGCGGUGCUUGAGGACUGGANAGGAGACUGNAAUUCAUGGUGUAGCAGUGAAAUGCGUAGAGAUCAUGAGGAAGACCAUUGGCUAAAGCUGGUCUCUUGGACAUUCCUGACCCU
rnacentral:rRNA from 1 species